rnacentral:rRNA from 1 species
AAUCAACGCUGGCGGCGCGCUUAACACAUGCAAGUCGAACGAGAAAGGGGAGCAAUCCCUGAGUAAAGUGGCAGACGGGUGAGUAACACGUGGGUCAUCCACUCCUUGAUGGGGGAUAACCCUGGGAAACCGGGGCUAAUACCGCAUAAGUCCGAGAGGAGAAAGGCGAAAGUCGUCGAGGAAGGAGCCCGCGGCCGAUUAGCUAGUUGGUAGGGUAAUGGCCUACCAAGGCUUUGAUCGGUAGCCGGCCUGAGAGGGCACACGGCCACACUGGCACUGAGACACGGGCCAGACUCCUACGGGAGGCAGCAGUGGGGAAUCUUGCACAAUGGGGGAAACCCUGAUGCAGCGACGCCGCGUGAGCGAUGAAGCCCUUCGGGGUGUAAAGCUCUUUCGACAGGAACGAUUAUGACGGUACCUGGAGAAGAAGCUGCGGCUAACUACGUGCCAGCAGCCGCGGUAAUACGUAGGCAGCAAGCGUUGUUCAGAGUUACUGGGCGUAAAGG